AACGGCCAUACCAUGCUGAAUAUACCGGUUCUCGUUAGAUCACCGAAGUUAAGCAUCAUUGGGCGCGGUCAGUACUUGGGUGGGAGACCACCUGGGAACACCGCGUUCC
rnacentral:rRNA from 1 species